UUACAUACCUGGACGGGGUCUUAAUGGGUGAUCAGGAAGGCCCAUGGCCUAGGUGGGUGACUUCCAUUGCACAACAAAAAGGAAGGGUGCCAACCUAAGGUCGGCCCAUGUUGGUCGAUCCUACGUCGUAAUUUGUGGUAGCGGGGGCUUGCGUUCGCGCGGCCCCUUC